rnacentral:rRNA from 1 species
UACGAAGGGGGCUAGCGUUGCUCGGAAUUACUGGGCGUAAAGCGCAUGCAGGUGGCUGAGUCAGUCGAUUGUGAAAGCCCUGGGCUUAACCUGGGAAUUGCAGUCGAUACUACUCAGCUAGAGUAUGGGAGAGGGCAGUGGAAUUCCCGGUGUAGCGGUGAAAUGCGUAGAUAUCGGGAGGAACAUCAGUGGCGAAGGCGGUUCUCUGGGACGGUACUGACGCUGAGACGCGAAAGCGUGGGGAGCGAACAGG